rnacentral:sRNA from 1 species
GGCUCACUGCCUUACAGCCACAUUGGCUGCCGUGACCAGAUUAUCUUUAUGGUGGGCCGUGGCUAUCUGUCCCCGGACCUCAGCAAAAUCUCCAGCAACUGCCCCAAGGCCAUGCGGCGCCUGCUGUCUGAUUGCCUCAAGUUCCAGCGGGAGGAGCGGCCCCUCUUCCCCCAGAUCCUGGCCACAAUUGAGCUGCUGCAACGGUCACUCCCCAAGAUUGAGCGGAGUGCCUCGGAACCCUCCUUGCACCGCACCCAGCCAAUCAAUGUUCGUCUCUGCCCUGAUGCUGCCUCAGGAUACCCCAUUCCCCACCCUGGGAGAUGAGGGGGUCCCCAUGUGCUUUUCCAGUUCUUCUGGAAUUGGGGGACACCCCCAAAGACUGAGCCCCCUGUCUCCUCCAUCAUUUGGUUUCCUCUUGGCUUUGGGGAUACUUCUAAAUUUUGGGAGCUCCUCCAUCUCCAAUGGCUGGGAUUUGUGGCAGGGAUUCCACUCAGAACCUCUCUGGAGUUUGUGCCUGAUGUGCCUUCCACUGGAUUUUGGGGUUCCCAGCACCCCAUGUGGAUUUUGGGGGGUCCCUUUUGUGUCUCCCCCACCAUUCAAGGACUCCCCUCUUUCUUCACUAAGAAGCACAGAAUUCUGCUGGGC